AUUGAACGCUAGCGGCAGGCUUAACACAUGCAAGUCGAGCGGGGGAAGGUAGCUUGCUACCGGACCUAGCGGCGGACGGGUGAGUAAUGCUUAGGAAUCUGCCUAUUAGUGGGGGACAACAUCUCGAAAGGGAUGCUAAUACCGCAUACGUCCUACGGGAGAAAGCAGGGGAUCUUCGGACCUUGCGCUAAUAGAUGAGCCUAAGUCGGAUUAGCUAGUUGGUGGGGUAAAGGCCUACCAAGGCGACGAUCUGUAGCGGGUCUGAGAGGAUGAUCCGCCACACUGGGACUGAGACACGGCCCAGACUCCUACGGGAGGCAGCAGUGGGGAAUAUUGGACAAUGGGGGGAACCCUGAUCCAGCCAUGCCGCGUGUGUGAAGAAGGCCUUAUGGUUGUAAAGCACUUUAAGCGAGGAGGAGGCUACUUUAGUUAAUACCUGGAGAUAGUGGACGUUACUCGCAGAAUAAGCACCGGCUAACUACGUGCCAGCCGCCGCAGUAA
rnacentral:rRNA from 1 species